UUCCUUCCAGGUCAAGGAUGAUGAGAUUUUCCUUAAAAAGACUUUGGCCUAGCUGGAGAGGUACCAGGGUAACGAUCUGGUCUGAGGCUAUCUUCCUUCUCGGAGUGGAGAUCACAUACGAUCCUUUAGUGUGACCGACACUCAACUCACAUCUUUCUCUAGUCUUACUCCCGAUGAAGCUAUGGGAGGCUCCCGAAUC
rnacentral:lncRNA from 1 species